AUUGAACGCUGGCGGCAGGCCUAACACAUGCAAGUCGAACGAAGUCUUCGGACUUAGUGACGGACGGGUGAGUAACACGUGGGAACGUACCUUUUGGUUCGGAACAACUCAGGGAAACUUGAGCUAAUACCGGAUGAGCCCUUAGGGGGAAAGAUUUAUCGCCGAAAGAGCGGCCCGCGUUAGAUUAGCUAGUUGGUGAGGUAAAGGCUCACCAAGGCUACGAUCUAUAUCUGGUCUGAGAGGAUGAUCAGCCACACUGGGACUGAGACACGGCCCAGACUCCUACGGGAGGCAGCAGUGGGGAAUCUUGCGCAAUGGGCGAAAGCCUGACGCAGCCAUGCCGCGUGAAUGAUGAAGGUCUUAGGAUCGUAAAAUUCUUUUACCAGGGACGAUAAUGACGGUACCUGGAGAAAAAGCCCCGGCUAACUUCGUGCCAGCAGCCGCCGUAACAC
rnacentral:rRNA from 1 species